GAUGACCGCUGUCGGCGUGCCUAAUACAUGCAAGUCGAGCGAAGCGGGGACGGGUGAGUAACACGUGGAUAACCUCCUAUACGACUGGGAUAACUUCGGGAAACCGUAGCUAAACCGGAUACUUUUAGAUGGAUCCGCACUGCAUUAGCUAGUUGGUAAGGUAAAGGAUUACCAAGGCAACGAUGCAUAGCCGACCUGAGAGGAUGAUCGGCAAGACAGGAACUGAGAAACGGUCCAGAAUCCUACGAGAGGCAGCAGUAGGGAAUCUUCCGAAAUGGGAGAAAGCCUGACGGAGCAACGCAGCGUGAGGUAUGAGGGUGUUCGGAUCGUAAAACACUGUGAUUAGGGAAACGGUACCAGAGCAGAAAGCCACGGAUAACUACGUGCCAGCAGCCGAGGUAAUAC
rnacentral:rRNA from 1 species